AGAGUUUGAUUAUGGCUCAGGACGAACGCUGGCGGCGUGCCUAAUGCAUGCAAGUCGGACGCACGCGCUUGGGCGCGUGAGUGGCGCACGGCUGAGUAACACGUGGGAACCCGCCCCCCGGUGGGGGAUAACGAGGCGAAAGUCUCGCUAAUCCCGCAUACGUCCACCCGGGGAAAGCGCGCAAGCGCGCCGGAGGAGGGGCCUGCGGCCCAUCAGGUAGUUGGCAGGGUAAGAGCCUACCAAGCCGAUGACGGGUAGCUGGUCUGGGAGGAUGACCAGCCAGACUGGGACUGAGACACGGCCCAGACUCCUACGGGAGGCAGCAGCAAGGAAUUUUCGGCAAUGGGCGCAAGCCUGACCGAGCAACGCCGCGUGCGGAAUGACCGCCUUCGGGUUGUAAACCGCUUUUGGGGGAGGA
rnacentral:rRNA from 1 species